UGAGAGAGAAAGUUGUAAAGAGAUACAGCACAAUCAUGGAUAAUGUGCCAUGCUACACCCUUUAUGUUUUAUGGGUGUUGUCGAAGAGAAGCCAGACAUCUAUCAGUAUCAACUUAUGCUCUUUUAGAAGAUGUUCCUUUAAUAUAAUAGAACAGACAUUACUGGUUACUAGGUGCCAUUUUUCUUUUUUCUUUACUAGACUACAAAACAAAUACAGUUAUAAAAUAUCACUAGCAUAUCGUUUACUUUCAGCCAGAGGAUGGAGAUAGAAAAGUGCAUUCUUGUCAGCAAACAAUAAAUUGGACCAGUCAAAAAUGAUGCAGUUUAGAUUAUCAUCAGUAAUGAAAGACCAUAUGCACAUUAUUAUGAACACAAAAGAUAUCAUACAUGAAUCAGGGUAAAGAGAAAACACCUUAACAUUGUAGCAUCAUGUUAAUAGAUCCACUAACAAUUCUACAACAACUCACUACAGAGAAUGUAUAGUUCCUGCAGGUUACUUUUCAAUAAAUAACUUUUAUAUGAUAACCUACACUUCACAAAGUAUAGUUCCUGCAGGUUACUUUUCAAUAAAUAACUUUUAUAUGAUAACCUACACUUCACAAAGUAUAGUUCCUGCAGGUUACUUUUAAAUAAGUAACUUAUAUAUGAUAACCUACACUUCACAAAGUAUAGUUCCUGCAGGUUACUUUUCAAUAAAUAACUUUUAUAUGACAACCUACAUUUCACAAAAUACAGUUCUUGCAGGUUACUUUUCAAUAAGUAACUUAUAUAUGAUAACCUACACUUCACAAAAUGUAGCUUUUACAUGCUACUUUUCAAUAAAUAACUUUUAUAUGACAACCUACACUUCAAAAAAUAUUGCAUUUACAUGUUACUUUUCAAUAAAUAAUUUUUUAUAUGGUAACGUACACUUCAAGAAGUAUAGUUCUUGCAGGUUACUUUUCAAUAAAUUAUUAAUAUAUGAUAACCUACACUUCACAAAAUGUAGCUUUUACAUGCUACUUUUCAAUAAAUAACUUACAACGUACACCUCACAAGCUAACUUUAAUGGACAAACAAAUUGAA